rnacentral:rRNA from 1 species
AUCUGGUUGAUCCUGCCAGAGGCUACCGCUAUUGGAGUUCGAUUAAGCCAUGCGAGUCGAAAGUCUUAGGGACUCGGCGUACCGCUCAGUAACACGUGGGUAACCUGCCCUAUGCUGGGGAAUAACCUCGGGAAACUGAGAAUAAUACCUCAUAGUCCAUAAUGCCUGGAACGGUUUGUGGAUUAAAGCCCCGGCGGCAUAGGAUGGGCCUGCGGCGUAUCAGGUUGUAGGGGGUGUAACGUACCCUCUAGCCAUCAACGCGUACGGGUGUUGGGAGACAAAGCCCGGAGAUGGAUUCUGAGACACGAAUCCAGACCCUACGGGGUGCAGCAGGCGCGAAAACUUGGCAAUGCGAGAAAUCGUGACCAGGGAACUCCAAGUGGCUGGGGUAAGACCCAGUCUUUUCUUGACUCUUCAAAGGUCUUGGAAUAAGAGGUGGGUAAGGACGGUGCCAGCCGCCGCGGUAAUACCGGCGCCUCAAGUGGUAGUCGAUUUUAUUGGGCCUAAAACGUCCGUAGCCUGUUUGGUACAUUCGUGGGUAAAUCA